rnacentral:piRNA from 1 species
UUGCUGACUGGUAGUCUUUGGUGAAUUGA